UUUACAAAUAUGCAAUAUAUCAUUGUGUACACCUCCCCAUGUGUACCUCCCCUCACUGAUAUAUUGUAUAUGUGACUUGUUUAGGGAGGUGUACACACUGAUAUUUUGUAUAUGUGAU